UACGGAGGGUGCAAGCGUUGUCCGGAAUCACUGGGCGUAAAGGGCUCGUAGGCGGUCUGUCACGUCGGGAGUGAAAACACGGGGCUUAACCCCGUGCCUGCUUCCGAUACGGGCAGACUAGAGGUAUGCAGGGGAGAACGGAAUUCCUGGUGUAGCGGUGAAAUGCGCAGAUAUCAGGAGGAACACCGGUGGCGAAGGCGGUUCUCUGGGCAUUACCUGACGCUGAGGAGCGAAAGUGUGGGGAGCGAACAGG
rnacentral:rRNA from 1 species